CCUACGGGAGGCUGCAGUGAGGAAUAUUGGUCAAUGGACGAGAGUCUGAACCAGCCAAGCCGCGUGUAGGAUGACUGCCCUCUGGUUUGUAAACUUCUUUUAUAAAGGAAUAAAACGAGGCACGUGUGCCUUUUUGCAUGUACUUUAUGAAUAAGGAUCGGCUAACUCCGUGCCAGCAGCCGCGGUAAUACGGAGGAUCCGAGCGUUAUCCGGAUGUAGUGGGUUUAAAGGGAGCGUAGAUGGGUUGUUAAGUUAGUUGUGAAAGUUUGCGGCUUAACCGUAAAAUUGCAAUUGAUACUGGCAGGCUUGAGUACAGUUGAGGUAGGCGGAAUUCGUGGUGUAGCGGUGAAAUGCUUAGAUAUCACGAAGAACCCCGAUUGCGAAGGCAGCUUACUAAACUGUGACUGACAUUGAUGCUCGAAAGUGUGGGUAUCAAACAGGAUUAGAUACCCGGGUAGUC
rnacentral:rRNA from 1 species